rnacentral:tRNA from 1 species
GCGACACUAGCUCAGUUGGUAGAGCGCAACCUUGCCAAGGUUGAGGUCACGAGUUCGC